GCUGAAAGACGAAGGACAUUGCUCUCUGUGCUCCUGCUUUUUUAUUGUUUUUUUGAUGACCUUGAUGACAAGCGACCCUCCGUAUAAAUGAGUAUUUAUGUGUAAACUUCAACAACGAUUUUUGUUUUUCUGCUCCUUGCUGUUUGUCUGAUUUUAAAAGUCUGUCAUGCCUGCUUACUGGAUCUGUUCAAUGACAAAUAAAUUGACUACUUGGGACUGCGUGGGACUCCUCUGCAAAAGGUAUUUGGCAACGUGAAUCAGUUAAAAAUAUUUU